rnacentral:rRNA from 1 species
UACGUAGGGGGCGAGCGUUAAUCGGAAUUACUGGGCGUAAAGCGUGCGCAGGCGGUUCUCCAAGUCCGUUGUGAAAGCCCCGGGCUCAACCUGGGAAUGGCAGUGGAAACUAGGGGACUGGAAUCUGGCAGAGGGGGGUGGAAUGCCGCGUGUAGCAGUGAAAUGCGUAGAGAUGCGGCGGAACACCGAUGGCGAAGGCAGCCCCCUGGGCUGAGAUUGACGCUCAGGCACGAAAGCGUGGGGAGCAAACAGG